UGAGGGAAUAUUGGGUCAAUGGGCGAGAGCCUGAACCAGCCAAGUAGCGUGCAGGACGACGGCCCUAUGGGUUGUAAACUGCUUUUAUAGGGGGAUAAAGUGUGCCACGUGUGGCAUAUUGCAGGUACCCUAUGAAUAAGGACCGGCUAAUUCCGUGCCAGCAGCCGCGGUAAUACGGAAGGUCCGGGCGUUAUCCGGAUUUAUUGGGUUUAAAGGGAGCGUAGGCCGUCUUAUAAGCGUGUUGUGAAAUGUCGGGGCUCAACCUGGGCAUUGCAGCGCGAACUGUGAGACUUGAGUGCGCAGGAAGUAGGCGGAAUUCGUCG
rnacentral:rRNA from 1 species